AUUGAACGCUGGCGGCAGGCCUAACACAUGCAAGUCGAGCGAGCGGCGGACGGGUGAGAAAUGUAUGGGGGCUGCCCGAUAGAGGGGGAGAACAACUGGAAACGGUAGCUAUUACCGCAUACUAUCGGAUCACCCACAUGGGGUAAGCUAGUAGGUGGGGUAAUGGCUCACCUAUGCGACGAUCCCUAGCUGGUCUGAGAGGAGGUUCAGCCACACUGGGACUGAGACACGGCCCAGACUCCUACGGAGGCAGCAGUGGGGAAUAUUGCACAAUGGGCGCAAGCCUGAUGCAGCCAUGCCGCGUGUAUGAAGAAGGCCCUAGGGUUGUAAAGUACUUUCAGUCUGGAGGCGUUACCUACAGAAGAAGCACCGGCUAACUCCGUGCCAGCAGCCGCGGUAAUUC
rnacentral:rRNA from 1 species